CCUACGGGAGGCAGCAGUGGGGAAUAUUGCACAAUGGGGGAAACUCUGAUGCAGCGACGCCGCGUGAGUGAAGAAGUAAUUCUUUACGUAAAGCUCUAUCAGCAGGGAAGAAAUACUCACCUCACGGUCAGCAGACGGUACCUGAUUCAGAAGCCCCGGCUAACUCCGUGACAGCAGCCGCGGUAAUACGGAGGGGGCAAGCGUUAUCCGGAUUUACUGGGUGUAAAGGGAGCGUAGACGGUGCGACAAGUCUGGAGUGAAAUGCCGCGGCUUAACUGCGGAACUGCUUUUGAAACUGGCGAACUAGAGAGCGGGAGGGGUAAGCGGAAUUCCUAGUGUAGCGGUGAAAUGCGUAGAUAUUAGGAGGAACACCGGUGGCGAAGGCGGCUUACUGGACCGUAACUGACGUUGAGGCUCGAAAGCGUGGGAAGCGAACAGGAUUAGAUACCCCUGUAGUC
rnacentral:rRNA from 1 species